AUGCACGCUGGCGGCGUGCCUAAUACAUGCAAGUCGAGCGAACAGACGAGGAGCUUGCUCCUCUGAUGUUAGCGGCGGACGGGUGAGUAACACGUGGAUAACCUACCUAUAAGACUGGGAUAACUUCGGGAAACCGGAGCUAAUACCGGAUAACAUGUUGAACCGCAUGGUUCAACAGUGAAAGACGGUCUUGCUGUCACUUAUAGAUGGAUCCGCGCCGCAUUAGCUAGUUGGUAAGGUAACGGCUUACCAAGGCAACGAUGCGUAGCCGACCUGAGAGGGUGAUCGGCCACACUGGAACUGAGACACGGUCCAGACUCCUACGGGAGGCAGCAGUAGGGAAUCUUCCGCAAUGGGCGAAAGCCUGACGGAGCAACGCCGCGUGAGUGAAGAAGGUCUUCGGAUCGUAAAACUCUGUUAUUAGGGAGGAACAAAUGUGUAAGUAACUAUGCACGUCUUGACGGUACCUAAUCAGAAAGCCACGGCUAACUACGUG
rnacentral:rRNA from 1 species